rnacentral:misc_RNA from 1 species
GAUGAAGAACGUAGCGAAAUGCGAUAAGUAAUGUGAAUUGCAGAAUUCAGUGAAUCAUCGAGUCUUUGAACGCACAUUGCGCCCCCUGGCAUUCCGGGGGGCAUGCCUGUCCGAGCGUCAUUGCUGCCCUCAAGCACGGCUUGUGUGUUGGGCCUCCGUCCUCCUCCCGGGGGACGGGCCCGAAAGGCAGCGGCGGCACCGCGUCCGGUCCUCGAGCGUAUGGGGCUUCGUCACCCGCUCUUGUAGGCCCGGCCGGCGCUUGCCGACACAUCAAUCUUUUUUCCAGGUUGACCUCGGAUCAGGUAGGGAUACCCGCUGAACUUAAGCAUAUCAAUAAGCGGAGGA